UACGUAGGGGGCAAGCGUUGUCCGGAUUUACUGGGCGUAAAGAGUGCGUAGGCGGUUUUCUAAGUUUGGUGUGAAAUCUCCCGGCUUAACUGGGAGGGUGCGCCGAAGACUGGAAGGCUUGAGUAUGGGAGAGGUAAGCGGAAUUCCUGGUGUAGCGGUGAAAUGCGUAGAUAUCAGGAGGAACACCUGCGGUGUAGACGGCUUACUGGACCAUAACUGACGCUGAGGCACGAAAGCGUGGGUAGCAAACAGG
rnacentral:rRNA from 1 species